rnacentral:rRNA from 1 species
UGCCAGCCGCCGCGGUAAUACGGAGGGUGCAAGCGUUAAUCGGAAUUACUGGGCGUAAAGCGCGCGUAGGCGGUUUUGUAAGUCGGAUGUGAAAUCCCUGGGCUUAACCUGGGAACUGCAUUCGAUACUGCAUAACUAGAGUAUGGUAGAGGGAAGUGGAAUUUCCGGUGUAGCGGUGAAAUGCGUAGAUAUCGGGAGGAACACCAGUGGCGAAGGCGGCUCACUGGCCCGGUACUGACGCUGAGGCGCGAAAGCGUGGGGAGCGAACGGGAUUAGAUA